UUUGGGGUUAGUGGUCUGAACUUGUCUCGGCGAAUAGCAGCAUUUGCAGAAGCAAAGGGAUGCAGCUUCAUCGCUCGGCUCUUUGAAGAUGAUGACACUCGAAGAAUUGUUUGUCCCUCAGCUGGAUUGCAGAGAAAAGGACAGAACAGGGGUCCCCGGAAAACAUUUCCAUCUACGUUUCCGCUCUACGUAGUGCUUGUGUGCCUUAUGUCCAGUAAUGUGGAUGCAUUAUGCAGAGUUAUGGAAGAGUCUAGACUUUAUGUGAAGAGUGUGAAGAGCCAAGUGAGCAUUCUUCCUGCCUGGAAGUGCAGUAUGAUGAGAAAGGAAGUCACAUCUUUGGAAACUAAGUGCAGCUGUGAGUAAGUCCAUGUGUCUGAAGGGGUCAAAAAGCAACCUCCUGCAAGCUAACGAAUUCACCUCUUUUCUUGUCCAAGCCUCAGUGCUGAGAGAGGAAAAAAAACUGCUGGCCUUCUCGGGACCGGCAGGAAGCAGUUUGCAGUCUCGCCCGGCAGCUCUUUUCUUUCAUCUGUGCCUGCGAACCCACUGCCAUCUGCUCUUUUGUGGCUCUGCUUCUGACUCCUACCGUGGCUUCUGGGGCUGUCCGCUUUGCUUUUUCAGGCACUGUGCGGGCCUUUUCCAGGCAUGCCUGAGGAUUUGAGGUGAGGUAGAAUGGGUGAGUGUAAUGGCGUGUCAGUUGUUUUACGGCUAGUCCGCAGUGCCUAGGAGAAGAGUAAUUUUGUUGUUUUGUUUUUUGCAGGUGUCAUGGGAUUACUUUCAGUCAGGAUGUGGGAGUAUCGCUUUGGCGCGGUGCAGGUGAUGAAGGUGAGCGAAGGAAGAUUAGAGAGGAUGUGGCUGCCAUUGAGUGAUGCCUCUUA